CUCGCCGCGGUAACACGUAUGUCACAAGCGUUAUCCGGAUUUAUUGGGCGUAAAGCGCGUCUAGGUGGUUAUGUAAGUCUGAUGUGAAAAUGCAGGGCUCAACUCUGUAUUGCGUUGGAAACUGUGUAACUAGAGUACUGGAGAGGUAAGCGGAACUACAAGUGUAGAGGUGAAAUUCGUAGAUAUUUGUAGGAAUGCCGAUGGGGAAGCCAGCUUACUGGACAGAUACUGACGCUGAAGCGCGAAAGCGUGGGUAGCAAACAGGAUUAGAUACCCCCGUAGUCCCUGUCUCUUAUACACA
rnacentral:rRNA from 1 species